rnacentral:rRNA from 1 species
UCGGGAAUAUUGCGCAAUGGAGGAAACUCUGACGCAGUGACGCCGCGUGCAGGAAGAAGGUUUUCGGAUUGUAAACUGCUUUAGACAGGGAAGAAACAAGACAGUACCUGUAGAAUAAGCUCCGGCUAACUACGUGCCAGCAGCCGCGGUAAUACGUAGGGAGCAAGCGUUAUCCGGAUUUAUUGGGUGUAAAGGGUGCGUAGACGGGAAGUCAAGUUAGUUGUGAAAUCCCUCGGCUCAACUGAGGAACUGCAACUAAAACUAACUUUCUUGAGUGCUGGAGAGGAAAGUGGAAUUCCUAGUGUAGCGGUGAAAUGCGUAGAUAUUAGGAGGAACACCAGUGGCGAAGGCGACUUUCUGGACAGUAACUGACGUUGAGGCACGAAAGUGUGGGGAGCAAACA